AACGCGAAGAACCUUACCAAGGCUUGACAUGUAGAGGAAAAGUGCAGAAAUGCACUCCCCGCAAGGUCUCUACACAGGUGGUGCAUGGUUGUCGUCAGCUCGUGUCGUGAGAUGUUGGGUUAAGUCCCGCAACGAGCGCAACCCUCGUCCUAUGUUGCCAGCACGUUAUGGUGGGAACUCAUGGGAUACUGCCGGGGUCAACUCGGAGGAAGGUGGGGAUGACGUCAAAUCAUCAUGCCCCUUACGUCUUGGGCUGCACGCAUGCUACAAUGGCUGGUACAAAGAGCUGCAAUACCGCAAGGUGGAGCGAAUCUCAAAAAGCCAGUCUCAGUUCGGAUUGGGGUCUGCAACUCGACCCCAUGAAGUCGGAGUUGCUAGUAAUCGUAGAUCAGCAACGCUACGGUGAAUACGUUCCCGGGUCUUGUACACACCG
rnacentral:rRNA from 1 species